ACUGCUCAGUAACACGUGGCUAACCUACCCUCAGGACGGGAACACCCUCGGGAAACUGAGGCUGACUCCCGAUAGAUGAUGGAUCCUGGAAUGGUUCUUCAUCCAAAUGAUAUGUGGUUCAUGCAUCGCAUAUCGCCUGAGGAUGGGGCCGCACCCUAUCAGGUAGUUGGUGGGGUAAUGGCCCACCAAGCCUAUAACGGGUACGGGCCUUGAGAGAGGGAGCCCGGAGAUGGGCACUGAGACAGGGGCCCAGGCCCUACGGGGCGCAGCAGGCGCGAAACCUCUGCAAUGCGCGAAAGCGCGACAGGGCCACCCCGAGUGCCAUCCGCUGAGGAUGGCUUUUCUCUGGUGUAGUGAGCCAGGGGAAUAAGCGGGGGGCAAGCCUGGUGUCAGCCGCCGCGGUAAUACCAGCUCCGCGAGUGGUCGGGACGAUUAUUGGGCCUAAAGCGUCCGUAGCCGGCCUAGCAAGUCUCUGGUUAAACCUCAGGGCUCAACCCUGAGAUCGCUGGAGAUACUGUUAGGCUAGGGGGCGGGAGAGGUUGAGGGUACUUCGCGGGUAGGGGCGAAAUCCUAUAAUCCGCGAAGGACCACCAGUGGCGAAGGCGCUCAACUGGAACGCGCCCGACGGUGAGGGACGAAAGCCAGGGGAGCAAAGGGGAUUAGAUACCCCCGUAGUCCUGGCUGUAAACGAUGCGGGCUAGGUGGUUGGGGUUGGCUUCGUGCCAACCCGGUGCCGCAGUGAAAGGCGAUAAGCCCGCCGCCUGGAAGUGCGGCUGCAAGGCUGAAACUUAAAGGAAUUGGCGGGGGAG
rnacentral:rRNA from 1 species